GCAGCAGUGGGGAAUAUUGGACAAUGGGCGGAAGCGUGAUCCAGCCAUGCCGCGUGUGUGAAGAAGGCCUUUUGGUUGUAAAGCACUUUAAGCGAGGAGGAGGCUACCGAGACUAAUACUCUUGGAUAGUGGACGUUACUCGCAGAAUAAGCACCGGCUAACUCUGUGCCAGCAGCCGCGGUAAUACAGAGGGUGCGAGCGUUAAUCGGAUUUACUGGGCGUAAAGCGUGCGUAGGCGGCUUUUUAAGUCGGAUGUGAAAUCCCUGAGCUUAACUUAGGAAUUGCAUUCGAUACUGGGAAGCUAGAGUAUGGGAGAGGAUGGUAGAAUUCCAGGUGUAGCGGUGAAAUGCGUAGAGAUCUGGAGGAAUACCGAUGGCGAAGGCAGCCAUCUGGCCUAAUACUGACGCUGAGGUACGAAAGCAUGGGGAGCAAACAGGAUUAGAUACCCUGGUAGUCCAUGCCGUAAACGAUGUCUACUAGCCGUUGGGGCCUUUGAGGCUUUAGUGGCGCAGCUAACGCGAUAAGUAGACCGCCUGGGGAGUACGGUCGCAAGACUAAAACUCAAAUGAAUUGACGGGGGCCCGCACAAGCGGUGGAGCAUGUGGUUUAAUUCGAUGCAACGCGAAGAACCUUACCUGGUCUUGACAUAGUAAGAACUUCCAGAGA
rnacentral:rRNA from 1 species